UACGUAGGGUGCAAGCGUUGUCCGGAAUCAUUGGGCGUAAAGAGCGUGUAGGCGGCCCGAUCAGUCCGCUGUGAAAGUCCAGGGCUCAACCCUGGGAUGCCGGUGGAUACUGUCGGGCUAGAGUCCGGAAGAGGCGAGUGGAAUUCCUGGUGUAGCGGUGAAAUGCGCAGAUAUCAGGAGGAACACCAAUGGCGAAGGCAGCUCGCUGGGACGGUACUGACGCUGAGACGCGAAAGCGUGGGGAGCAAACAGG
rnacentral:rRNA from 1 species